ensembl:rRNA 5S_rRNA 5S ribosomal RNA
CACUAUGGCCAUGCUACCCUGAACGUGCCGAAUCUUGUCUGAUUUCAGAAGCUAGGCAGGGUCAGGCCUGGCUAGUACUUGGAUGGGAAACCACCUAGGUCUGAUGCUGUAGGCG